AUUGAACGCUGGCGGCAGGCCUAACACAUGCAAGUCGAGCGGAUCGGCGGACGGGUGCGUAAUGCCUAGGAAUCUGCCUGUGAGUGGGGGAUAACGUCCGGAAACGGGCACUAAUACCGCAUACUCUCAGAUGAGCAUAGGCCGGAUUAGCUAGUUGGUGGGGUAUAGGCCUACCAAGGCGACGAUCCCUAACUGGUCUGAGAGGAUGACAAGUCACACUGGAACUGAGACACGGUCCAGACUCCUACGGGAGGCAGCAGUGGGGAAUAUUGGACAAGGGGCGAAAGCCUGAUACAGCCAUGCCGCGUGUGUGAAGAAGGUCUUCGGAUUGUAAAGCACUUUAAGUUGGGAGGCGUUACCAACAGAAUAAGCACCGGCUAACUUCGUGCCAGCAGCCGCGGUAAUUC
rnacentral:rRNA from 1 species